AACAGGAUUAGAUACCCUGGUAGUCCACGCUGUAAACGAUGUCGAUUUGGAGGUUGUGCCCUUGAGGCGUGGCUUCCGGAGCUAACGCGUUAAAUCGACCGCCUGGGGAGUACGGCCGCAAGGUUAAAACUCAAAUGAAUUGACGGGGGCCCGCACAAGCGGUGGAGCAUGUGGUUUAAUUCGAUGCAACGCGAAGAACCUUACCUACUCUUGACAUCCAGAGAACUUUCCAGAGAUGGAUUGGUGCCUUCGGGAACUCUGAGACAGGUGCUGCAUGGCUGUCGUCAGCUCGUGUUGUGAAAUGUUGGGUUAAGUCCCGCAACGAGCGCAACCCUUAUCCUUUGUUGCCAGCGGUUCGGCCGGGAACUCAAAGGAGACUGCCAGUGAUAAACUGGAGGAAGGUGGGGAUGACGUCAAGUCAUCAUGGCCCUUACGAGUAGGGCUACACACGUGCUACAAUGGCGUAUACAAAGAGAAGCGACCUCGCGAGAGCAAGCGGACCUCAUAAAGUACGUCGUAGUCCGGAUUGGAGUCUGCAACUCGACUCCAUGAAGUCGGAAUCGCUAGUAAUCGUAGAUCAGAAUGCUACGGUGAAUACGUUCCCGGGCCUUGUACACACCGCCCGUCACACCAUGGGAGUGGGUUGCAAAAGAAGUAGGUAGCUUAACCUUCGGGAGGGCGCUUACCACUUUGUGAUUCAUGACUGGGGUGAAGUCGUAACAAGGUAACC
rnacentral:rRNA from 2 species